rnacentral:lncRNA from 1 species
AAAUGAAGUCUAGAGUAGCAUAGGGUCCCCACUUGUGGAGCUGGCAUUCUCAAAGUGUCCCCUGUCUUAAUGUAGGUUCACAGCAGAUGAAGCUCGGGAUCUGAUCCAGCGUUACCUGACGGAGCAUCCAGACCCCAAUAAUGAAAACAUUGUUGGCUACAAUAACAAGAAAUGCUGGCCCCGAGAUGCCCGAAUGCGCCUCAUGAAGCAUGAUGUCAACUUGGGUCGGGCAGUGUUCUGGGACAUCAAAAACCGGCUGCCACGAUCAGUGACUACAGUACAAUGGGAGAAUAGCUUUGUGUCUGUGUACAGUAAAGACAACCCCAACCUGCUGUUCAACAUGUGUGGCUUUGAGUGCCGCAUCCUGCCUAAGUGCCGUACCAGCUAUGAAGAAUUCACCCACAAGGAUGGGGUCUGGAACCUUCAGAAUGAGGUACAGUCUAGGAAGGACAUCACUUUACCACCCUUGUAACUCUGGCAUCAAUGGGGUGAAAAACAGUCACACCUUUUCAUUAUCAGCUCAGUGACCCUUAGGUGGGUUGAGCUUAGUAGUGAUCACGAUUAAUCCUUGCUUGUGUAGCCCUGGCUGGAAUUUACUUUGUAGACCAGACUGGCCCUGAUUGUCUCAGAGAUCAGCCUGCCUCUGGCUCCACCUCCCACAGGUUAGGAUUAAGGCAUGUGCCACCAUUCCCUGCUAUUCCCUUUUUAUUUUUUCUUUGAGACAGGUCUUACUGUUCAGUGAUGGCUGACCUGGAAUUUUAUAUAGACCAGAUUGGCCAUGAAUUCACCAAGAUCCUCCCUGGAAUCUGCAUUCUGGGAUUAAAUGCAUGCAUACCAUGUUAGCUUUUCAUCUUAUUUAUUGCCUUGUUAUUUUUGUGGAGUUUGGAGGACAGCUUGUAGUUAGUUCCACUCUGUGGGUUCUGGGGAUUGAACUCAGGAAAUAGGGCUUGGUAGCAAGCACGUUUGCCUGCUAUAAACCAUGUCAUCAGCCCAUCUAGAGCCUCUGAUUUUGUGGUUUAGGUUACCAAGGAGCGGACAGCGCAAUGUUUCCUGCGUGUGGACGAUGAGUCGAUGCAACGCUUCCAUAACCGAGUUCGUCAGAUUCUAAUGGCCUCUGGCUCCACCACCUUUACCAAGGUAUGUUGGGCCCUAAGGCUCCAAUUCUCUGCCAUUCUCUGUCUGUCUUUGUCCUUUUCAACUCCUGCUGUGGUUUGAGGUUGCUCUUUCCCAGCUUUGCCUAGUAUACUAAUCUCCAUGUUUUAUGGGAUGGCAGCCUAGAGUGUUGGAUCAAUUGGGCUUUAUUUCUGAGACUUCACUACAAGAAUGUAUCAGACUGCAUUGUGGGGUUUUGAGGAUUUUUAUUUUGAUGAUUUUUUUACAUUAAGACAAAAGUAAGAGUUUUUAAUUUGCACAAAAGCAUCUAAUUUUCAUUUUCCCUUAGGCUUGUUUUGGCUUUUUUUUUUUUUU